AUUUUAAAUUAAGUACCUCCAUCAAACACUCUAUACAAAGCAUAAAAGCAUUUCUUAGAUGCCUCACAGGUCUGCAGCUAAUUGGGAAGAGACAGUGUUGUUAGAAAUCUCCCUGGUGUUUUGCCUACGAAUAAACACCAUCAAACACAAGCCCAAAAUAUUAUUUCUCUAUGGAACAUGUAUAAAAGAGGAGGAUCUUAAAUUUAGUAAAGGGAAGUCUGCGCUGACUUCAUAUUGCAAGAGUAAUACAAUUACCAGAAUUCGCUGGCGAAAACCCAGCGGCAGCUUCAGGCAGCACCGGGCGAGACGGAGCGGGAUUGCCAGGAGCGCUGCCCGCAGGGGCUGCGCCUGCACAACCUGGGGGGCUCCCAGCAGGUGCAACAAAGGUGGGAAGGGGUAUGUGCCCUGCUAAAGCUGCUGGGGUUUUAGGAAAAAGACCAAAUUCCACUGGCUUCUGCAGAGAAAUCCCUGAACUACUUGGGCAAGAGGAAAACUCAGCAUCUCCAGCUAGAUAUAUGUCAACUUACGUAACCUGCACAUUUGACCAUGGUUUUCCUUCUCUUUUAUCCCAUGUGUUUGAGGAGGACUUUGGAGCUCCCUGUUCAAGGAUCUACAGGUUAAUUGACUCUUGUAAAAAGGUUAUAUUUAUGUUUCAGUGUUUAUGUGUUAAGAAAUAACAAUUUUAAAUCAAGUUAUUUGUUGGCGUAGCUGCUGGUCCAGACAAAAUGGCACAGUCAUUUGCUGCAAACGACAUCUGCACAGAACUGGAAAAGAGUGAAAGAAAAGAAAAAACACGAACUUUGCAGGUCUUAUUUUUAACUCAGAGUCAGCAAGAAGUCCCGGCGCCGACUGCGGUGGGCGGUGGCUUUACAUUUCAACACACGUUCAGGACGGAGCAGAUCUACUGUCCCUGUGGGGGCUCGGGAAGGGCAGCCAGCAGCCCCCUGCCCCAGCACCCACCUCCAUGGCUGCUGCAGCUGCCCUGGCCGUGCCAUAGGCUGAGCUCCUGGUGGCCACCAUGUCCCUGUGGCAGGGGGAGAGGCGCCCAUCCACCGGAGAACCCCUGGGGAACCGGGACCUGGCGGCUGCGCGCAGCCAGCGGCAGGCACGGACAAAGCAGGCUGGGCCUUCGGGGAUUUUCAGUUCUGGGUUUUUGUUUUCACGUCCGGCCUGGCUUUGGUCUCGAUCUAAGCUUUCCAACUGGAAGGAAGGCUUUGAAUUCCGGUGUUGCCUGAUGUGGUUUUAAUAAGCUCAGUCCCUCCUCAUCUGCUGCAUGGCAGGAACAGCUCAGAGCCAGCCCCGCGAGCUGGGCGUGUGCAAACUUUUAAAUAAAACUUAGGCUUCUCUUCCCAGAGCAUUUGCUGUCUUAUAAAGAACAGCAAUGGAAGUGCAGCUCUCCGCAGUUCUUACGGGUCGGUGGUAGCAGCUUUCAUUACCGGAAUGACUACAAGUCUUGGU